rnacentral:misc_RNA from 1 species
UGGGCUUGACAUACAUGUGAAACCCCCUGUUUCCAGGGGGUUUCACAUGUAUGUCAAGCCCAGGUAAGGUUCUUCGCGUUGCUUCGAAUUAAACCACAUGCUCCACCGCUUGUGCGGGCCCCCGUCAAUUCCUUUGAGUUUCAGCCUUGCGGCCGUACUCCCCAGGCGGGGCACUUAAUGCGUUAGCUACGACACCGAACCCGUCUAUAGGCCCGGCAUCUAGUGCCCAUCGUUUACGGCGUGGACUAC